CGGACGGGUGAGUAACGCGUGGAAAACCUGCCGUAUACUGGGGGAUAACACUUAGAAAUAGGUGCUAAUACCGCAUAAGCGCACAGCUUCGCAUGAAGCGGUGUGAAAAACUCUGGUGGUAUACGAUGGUUCCGCGUCUGAUUAGCUAGUUGGUGGGGUAAUGGCCUACCAAGGCAACGAUCAGUAGCCGGCCUGAGAGGGUGAACGGCCACACUGGGACUGAGACACGGCCCAGACUCCUACGGGAGGCAGCAG
rnacentral:rRNA from 1 species